UGUUCCUCCGUCUUGUGGCGUCAGCUGUCCCGGGGCCUCCCCCCUCCCUCCGCCCUUCAGGGGAGUUUGCCCAGCACCCCAGCUGCCAGGGCGCAGAAGUCCUGGUGGCUCACGGGGACCAGUGUGGACACGCGGCAGUAGCUGUCAGGUCCCUACCUGGCGCCCUCGCCCUUCUUGCCAGGGAUGUGGCCUCCACCUGGCAGGGCCAGCUUCUCCCCCUGCACCCAGGCCCCUUCUUCCCUGCAAAGCGGCUCUGCAGUUGGGACACUGCCUGGGGGCACCCCACAGCCCGGGGCACAGCUGUGACUCCAGGAACAGAGGAUCGUCCUCAGUUCCAUCUCCCUAUUCCUGACCUGCCCGAUUCCUACAGCUGGCCGAUUGCUCACCAGGGCAUCCCCACACUGAAGGUUGUGUAGAAGUCCUGACCCCAGGGCCUCAGGAGGUGCCCUUGCUGAGAGAUGAGGUGUUUACAGAUGCCAACUAGUUAAGACAAGGUCACACUGGUGGGUGGGGGGACACCUAACCCACAUGACUGCUGUCCAUCUAAGAAGAGGAGACAUGAACUCAGGGCCACAGACACAGAGGAAAACGGCCGUGUGAUGAAGAAGGCAUUGAUCAGUGAGGCAUCAGCGGCAAGCAGGAGGGGCCCAAGCCUGCAGAGCCGAGGGAAUAAACACCUGUCCCAGAAGCCAUCUGUCUGCUCACAGCAGCCACAGGAGACCUACACACCUGGGGGCACAUCUCAGAGUACAAGUAAAGGCACCUGCAGCCCCCCGCCCCCACAGAGGAAAGGCGGCUAUGCUUCUGACCACCACGGCCCUCACAGUUCCUGUGUACAGAGUCCAGUGGCUCAGGGACCAGCUUGCCACCUGAGGAUGGGGUGUGGACCCACCCGGGAUCUGCAGCACCGCCUCGGAUGGCCACGGCAUCCCGGGCAUGCACAGAGCAUCUUUCCACAAAGCCCUGGCGCACCUGGUGCCUGUUCCGGGACCACUCUGCCAUCUACCCGCCACACUAUCUUGCUGGCUGGCUGGCUUUCUGUCCGAGGGAAACUGAGUCAUGCUCAUAAAGCAACAACCAGCAUCGCUUUCCAGGAACUGAAGUCACCUGUCACAAUGAGCCAACGGAAGCUUAGUGUGGGUGUUGACUUGGGGCAACCUGUCACUGAGGUGGCUGAGUGAACCGAGGUGAUGCUCUUUUCACUCCAAAUGCCUAGAAAGGCGUUCAGGGGAUGUGAUCAGGAACGGAGACUUCCUCCCUGGUAACAUCAGAGUCAGGAUAACAGACCUGCAGAUGCUCUCGCUGGGUGAUGCUGAGUCAUUCAACUCUGCCUCAGGGACACUCCGGAGCCCCCGGGCUGUCCCCGAUGGACACGUCCCAUCGUGCAUUUCUCAGAGCGUUCUGAGGAGGGUCUUGUGGCUGAGACCUCCAAGCAGGUACCUCUGCCUCCGGGGUUGGCCUCGGUCCACACCAGGCCCUCGUGCUUCGGUCUGCCCUACCUAACACACAGCUGAGAUCCCAGCUCUGUACCCUGGGGCUGCGGGAAAGAGCUGCAGGGUCUCCCCUGGCCUGGCCUGUGCUCUCCAGCAUGGCAGGCAUGAGAAUCACUGCUCCCUGCACAAAGCACAGCUGUGACUGUCACCUGUCCCAGCCCCACUCCCUGCUUCAGGUGUGCCUUGUAAAGGUUCCACUUGUAAGAGGUCCAUGCAUCCCACCUGAGCUUCCUGAGGCCCAGGGUGGCCUUGCUCCCCAGUGUCUCCGAGCCCAGGGCAGCGAUGUCCCAG
ensembl:lncRNA